rnacentral:hammerhead_ribozyme from 1 species
AUCUAGCUGACGAGUCCCAGUCAGGGGACGAAAUGCGCAUCCUGGU